UGAAUAAAUAUAAAAUAGAAAUUUGUGUAACAGGUGAUGAAUGUUUAAUAAUACUUUUGAGCACUUAUUUCAAUCUGAGAGAGUUGUCCGGAACUAUUGGAACCCACAAUGUUCAUGUUCAAAAAACGAUCAUUAGGAAAUUCAGAAGUUACUUAUGAUGAAAAUUAUUUAAGGGAAACAAAACAUAGACGUGGAAUGAAGGAAUCUUUGAAUCAUUUGUCAGAAAUGCGAAUGAAAAAGAGAUACUGCAUUAAGUUAAUCUAAUCGCGAUUUAGAGGCCCUUCUCGAAGAUUUUAUAGUCCUACAACAAUUAUUAGGUCUUGAUCAAGUUGUAUUACAAAAAGUAUUGAACAAUAUUCCAAUGAAGAUUUCAAGAGAAAAAUAUAGUUGCGUGCUUCUAAUCGGAUUGGAUUUGAAGUUUAAAGACAGAAUAAAAACGCUGAAUUUUCGAAAAAAAAAAAGAAAAUUUAUACAUAUAUGAAUAUUAUAAAUAAUAUAUUUAGUCUCUAAAAAGGAAAAUGUUUUUCAGAGAGAUAAAUACAAUAAUAUGAGUUAAAAGCAUA